UUCUGCAACGCCUGAAAUAGCGAACUUGCAUUUGUCAGCAAUGGCGAGAAGCUAGGGCACUUGGAGAUCAGAUCUCUUUGCUAAGGAGGAACGAUUUUUGAACAGGCACUUUUCCCAUCUGGCAGGAGCAUCCUCCCUUCUUCUUCCCGCCGCCCUCCCAGAUCGCAAUCCUCCCCUGCCCUGUUUUGCAUUUCAAGUGCCAUAAUGCAGAAGAAUGCAUCUGAAAGUGACAAGGGAGCCUGUAUGCUGGAAUGCCGCCUUCCAGGCAAGGAAUAUAUGAUAAAUGGCCUGCAGUGACUCUAAAUGGAUUAUGGAGCCCACUUCCAAAGCGCCGAGCUGUCCCGCAAGCUGCUCUUGCGCUAUUGCAUAUGAUGUUACUUUUAUGGAUUACACUGUGUAAUUGCUCAUCUGAUUGAAUUACUUUUAUCAAAGCACUCUGUGCCGAACAAUGCGGCGAGGUCAGGGGAGGCUAAAAAUAGAUUGGGAGAGCAGAGAGUUAAUUAGAUUCUAUGAAUGCGAGAAGAAGGGAGUCAAUCCUACAGCCUUUAAGGCAGGGGUAGGCAACCUAAGGCCCGGAGGCUGGAUACGGCUCAAUCGCCUUCUCAGUCUGGCCCGUGGACGGUCCAGGAAUCAGCUGGUUUUUACAUGAGUAGAAUGUGUCCCUUUAUUUAAAAUGCAUCUCUGGGUUAUUUGUGGGGCAUAGGAAUUCGUUCAUUCCCCCCCCCCCAAAAUGUAGUCUGGCCCACCACAUGGUCUGAGGGACAGUGGACCGGCCCACGGCUGAAAAAGGUUGCUGACCCCUGCUUUAAGGGGAAGGCCGUGGCUCAGUGGCAGAGCAGAAGUCCCUAGGUUCAAUCCCUGCCAUUUCCAGUUAAAAAGGGACCCCCGACCAUUAGGUCCAGUCGUGACCGACUCUGGGGUUGCGGUGCUCAUCUCGCUUUAUUGGCCGAGGGAGCCGGCGUACAGCUUCCAGGUCAUGUGGCCAGCAUGACUAAGCCGCUUCUGGCAAACCAGAGCAGCGCACGGAAAUGCCGUUUACCUUCCCACCGAAGUGGUACCUAUUUAUCUACUUGUACUUUGAUGUGCUUUUGAACUGCUAGGUUGGCAGGAGCAGGGACUGAGCAACGGGAGCUCACCCCGUUGCGGGGAUUCGAACAGCCGACCUUCUGAUCGGCAAGUCCUAGGCUCUGUGGUUUAACCCACAGCGCCACCCGCGUCAUUUCCAGUUAGGGUUGGGAAAAACUUCUGCCUGAAACCCUGGAGAGUUACUAUAUUGAACUAUCACUGUAAGCUAUACUGAGCUUGAUGAAUCAAUGGUCCAUCUCAGCAGAAGGCAGCUUCCUAUAUUCCAUUGUUGGUACAGUGGUACCUCGGGUUACAUACGCUUCAGGUUACAGACUCCGCUAACCCAGAAAUAGUACCUCGGGUUAAGAACUUUGCUUCAGGAUGAAAACAGAAAUCGUGCGGCAGUGGCGCGGCAGCAGCGGGAGGCCCCAUUAGCUAAAGCGGUACCUCAGGUUAAGAACAGUUUCAGGUUAAGAAUGGAUCUCUGGAACAAAUUAAGUUCUUAACCCAAGGUACCACUGUAUAGGGCAACCUGGUUUGUAAAAGAAAGAAGAAACCACCCCUAAUUUGCUUCUCAUAAAAGCACUUCUAGAAACUGCAGGUGACAGCCACCAUUUUAGAAGAGGCAUCCCCACCUGCUGCCUCGCCUUCAUUCUCUCACACAGGAAGAACGGGCUAUUCUAAGAUGGCAUCCGCUGUCACAAAUUGUGCUGGAUCAAUCAAUCAACCUCUGAGGAAUGAUUUAGAAGGAUUGGGUCCAGCAUCACUUUCGCUGUGUGUGUGUGCCAGUAUCCAUACUCAGCAGAGUUACAUCUCAACGCAACUUCUUCCUUGGGAGUGUCUUCAGGGUUGAAGAUAUUCUGCUAUGGAGUAGCAUUUGUGCUCUGAGUUGCAAACCACCCUGUGAUCUUUUGACAAAGGAGUUCUGAGCCAAUUCUGAUGCGGUUGUGGCAACUCUCCAGCUGUCAGCACAAUAAGGAUGGUGUCAGCCUUUGCACUGAGCUUCCUUUGCCACUUUGGUUCAUGACCUGAGUGUUACUUAAACUUGAGAAGUGAAGCUAUUACCAGGCUCUGUAAGUGCUUUGCGGCUCCUGUUGUGAAAAGCAAUAUAAAAUAUAUGAAUAAAUAAAUGUUGUACUUUCUACCCGCCACAAAUAUCUACAAUUCACUGUCAUCAGCUGAAGUCAUUUGGGUAAGUUUUCCAUAUGAAGAUCACCACCAUCCUUCUUGGACUUGUUAAAGUACAGUAAUUAUUACUG